rnacentral:rRNA from 1 species
GAUGAACGCUGGCGGUAUGCUUAACACAUGCAAGUCGAACGGACUCUUCGGAGUUAGUGGCGGACGGGUGAGUAACGCGUGAGAAUCUGGCUUUGGGUUCGGGACAACCACUGGAAACGGUGGCUAAUACCGGAUGUGCCGAGAGGUAAAAGAGAAAUUGCCUGAAGAUGAGCUCGCGUCUGAUUAGCUAGUUGGUGAGGUAAAGGCUCACCAAGGCAGCGAUCAGUAGCUGGUCUGAGAGGAUGACCAGCCACACUGGGACUGAGACACGGCCCAGACUCCUACGGGAGGCAGCAGUGAGGAAUUUUCCGCAAUGGGCGAAAGCCUGACGGAGCAAUACCGCGUGAGGGAAGAAGGCUCUUGGGUUGUAAACCUCUUUUCUUAGGGAAGAACAAAAUGACGGUACCUAAGGAAUCAGCAUCGGCUAACUCCGUG